AACGCGAAGAACCUUACCAGCUCUUGACAUGCCUCGUAUGGGUCCGGGAGACCGGGUCCUUCGGUUCGGCCGGCGGGGACACAGGUGCUGCAUGGCUGUCGUCAGCUCGUGUCGUGAGAUGUUGGGUUAAGUCCCGCAACGAGCGCAACCCUCAUCCCUAGUUGCCACCGGGUCAAGCCGAGCACUCUAGUGAAACCGCCCCGGAUAACGGGGAGGAAGGUGGGGAUGACGUCAAGUCCUCAUGGCCUUUAUGUCCAGGGCUACACACGUGCUACAAUGGUCGGUACAAACCGUCGCAAAGCUGCAAAGUGGAGCUAAUCGGAAAAAGCCGGCCUCAGUUCGGAUUGGAGUCUGCAACUCGACUCCAUGAAGCUGGAAUCGCUAGUAAUCGCAGAUCAGAACGCUGCGGUGAAUACGUUCCCGGGCCUUGUACACACCGACUGUAC
rnacentral:rRNA from 1 species